rfam:Medicago truncatula strain A17 chromosome 8, whole genome shotgun sequence.
UUAUAAGCAAAAAUUCACUUCUUAGGUUCAUUCAAUAAAUGAUGUAUGUGGUUUAUAUAAAGAUCACAUACAUCAUUUAUUGAAUGAAUCUAAAAAGAGAAUUUUUGCUUAUAA